CGGGGGCCCGACCUUGAGCUAACAGGCGAACAAAGGCGCUCGCGCCAAAGCAAACGCUCUCGUGACGAGUCAGCGCUUCGCCGUCGGAGGGAAGCAAACAGACACACAAAAGAUCUCCUUUUUCUCCUCGGCUCACUUUUCCACAGAGACCUUUUCCACCAUCACACCUGUGGUCCAGGUGAGGACGGCUGAGUCCGUCCAGGUGUGGACGCGCUUUGCUUUUUUUUUUCCCCAAGGAGAUUGCAGAGCAAAUCUGGUUGAGGAGAACAAAGGGAGCCUUCAAAGUGAAUCAAACAUUUGUUUAAUGUCUCCGAUUCUCUCGCCGUGUGCCAGAAGCUCACACUCAGCGGGGAAAAGGGCUUUUCUUUCACUCUGUUAAAAGAUUGAAAAUCAAACUGACGGGUUGAGGUUAUUUAAAGGAAAGGAAACUUCAUUUUAGAAGGAGUGUUAAUAAAACAUGUGAGCCGUGGGAUCGUCUCGGUGUAGGCACCUCUGAGUGUGUUCAAAGUUGCAUGAGAAAGAAAAAAUCCCGCUCUGCCUUCAGAACGUUGACGCCUUCGUCAUCAGGUGCUUCAACUCUUCUUCAACCGAGGCUUCAGCUGCCGACGCGCCGAUGCUGCAACAACGUCGCCUCAAGAGGUCAGAGAGCCGUUCGCUUUCUACGGGUCAAUUUGCACAUUAAACUUCACCAAAGUUAAAAAGCUAACGCAAUGCAGCAGAGAAAUGAUGCUGCCGUCUUUCAGUGGUUACAGAUAAAUAGUUUUUUGGAAGAUGGAAGAUGUUAGCGGGAAAGCAAAAGAAGCUCGAUCAUCUGCCUUCUCACCACGUGGUUAAAGCUCACUGGUUACACGAAGCUGCUGAAGGAGCCGCUUUGCUCAACGGAGGGAAGCGUACCAACAACCAGCUGACCAGGUCAAGAUCAACACAAGCACCCGAAGCCGUGAAAUAACCACCGAGCCGUGAAGGUCUGUUGGGUCGGUUCCAUCUCGACUCGACCGGCUUCCCAGAACUCAGAAACACAAUAAAACACACAAAACAACCACACGGCGCGUUACCUUCAGUCACGCUGCAACACGUCGACCUUCCCUUCUGGGGCCGAGCGAGGGCGGAGCAGAAAGACAAGGGGUGGAGGAGAGAGGUGGAGAGGUGGAUGAGUAGAGAGGUGGAGGAGUGGAGGAGUAGAGAGGUGGAGGAGUAGAGAGGUGGAGCGGUGGAGGAGUAGAGAGGUGGAGCAGUGGAGGAGUAGAGAGGUGGAGAGGUGGAGGAGUAGAGAGGUGGAGGAGUAGAGAGGUGGAGCGGUGGAGAGGUGGAGGAGUAGAGAGGUGGAGGAGUAGAGAGGUGGAGCGGUGGAGAGGUGGAGGAGUAGAGAGGUGGAGGAGUAGAGAGGUGGAGUGGUGGAGAGGUGGAGCGGUGGAGGAGUAGAGAGGUGGAGCGGUGGAGAGGUGGAGGAGUAGAGAGGUGGAGGAUAAAAACAUUCGUGGCCACAGAGAGAAAGAAAAGGAGGAAAUAUGCAGAAAAAAGGCGCCAUUGACACAGAAACUCUAUUCUGAGGAUUAUGGGUAAUUAUUAACUGCUCCUUUAUGAUUCCUGCCGAUUGCGUAGAGGAACACAGAUUACACCCGAUGCACAAAAAAUAACUGAGAUUACACUGUGAUCCACCACGCACACACACACAGACUCACACACACACACAGACUCACACACACACACACACACACAGGUGUUGUCAGCUACCACGGCUCUAAACGCUCUGUAGCCGUUAGCGUAGCGAACCAAGUGAAGUAAAGACGCCACAGAGAGUUUAAACCUCCAGAAGAUGAACUUUCACCGUGAAAUAGCGAGAGGAGCCUUUCUGACAAUCAAGGACAGCGUCCUAGAGGUGCCCUCUGGUGUCCUGCAGGGGGCGACGUCCUCUAGGCGACAGGACGACGGGCGAGGGCGUCCGAGGGUGCUUCAAAAAACACGUGGUGUUAAUGUUCUAAUCCCCCUCAGAGCGAUUACUGCUGUGUGAGGAGUAAAUAUGUGGGAGGC
ensembl:lncRNA